rnacentral:rRNA from 1 species
UACGUAGGGUGCGAGCGUUAAUCGGAAUUACUGGGCGUAAAGCGUGCGCAGGCGGUUUUGUAAGCCAGAUGUGAAAUCCCCGGGCUCAACCUGGGAAUGGCAUUUGGGACUGCAAGGCUGGAGUUUGGCAGAGGAGACUGGAAUUCCUGGUGUAGCAGUGAAAUGCGUAGAUAUCAGGAGGAAUACCGAUGGCGAAGGCAGGUAUCUGGGCUAUAACUGACGCUCAUGCACGAAAGCGUGGGGAGCAAACAGG